UGAAAACAGGCAAACAUUUGAAGAGUAUUCUACAGAACACAGAUCUUUCAACACCUCCCCCUUUCCAUGGCUAAUUCAUUGUCAUGGAAACUGAAUUUAUCAAAAUGUUCUUGUUCACUCCUAGUGACCCUGUGAAUCGACUUACAGAGCUGGUGAAAGGUAACUCAGACUGAAGCAAUUUUUACAAAUGAUAUGCAGCAGUUCAUAAGUCAGUAAAUUUUGAAUGGCAUCAUUGUACUUCCCAAGUAGUCUUCCCUAGCCUCAAAAGACUCUUUCUGUCUGCAAGCUGGAGGUGUCUGAAACACUUACUAAUAAGUUAGCAUGGCUGGUAUAUCAUUUUCCUGUGUCGAUAUGUAGCCCAAGGAUGCAAAAAUCCUUCAUCACCUCAUGACAAACAUCUCUUCUUAUCUGUUACUGAAGAUAGGUGUUGACUACCAAGUGUAAUGCACAAUGACUACUGUAUGCAGCCAGCUCUGCCAAACCCAAAAUAACCCUGGAACUCUGAGUGUUUUCACCAUGUCUCAGAAGAUUGACCAUAUGCAAGCUGCCUUGGUGCGCUGAAGGAUCCCAUUCCAAAAUGGCUCCUCAAGAGCCAUUACUCAAAGAAAAUUUAAAGUCUGAGCCUGAUGUCUGUCUCUAUGGUAACUACAUGGAGGUGGGCAAUUCCCGUGUCUGGUGAGAUAUAAUUUUUUUCAUUUCUUUCUAAGGAUGCCAGAAUGAAUCAUCCCUCUUGCUUCUCAUUAUAGCUUAUAAAACUAUUAUUUUCUUUUUAUGUAAAAUGGGGCUUCAGUUGUCAUCAAAAUCUUCUUAUUGUAGUGAUGUAGUUAAAAGAUUUAUUUUUAUAUUAUUUAGUUCCUGAAUCUAACUAAUAGAUUCAUUUGAAUGAAAAAGGAUUUUAACCAGUAGCUGAGGGUACAAGACCCAAUUCCUUAUGUUUGACAGAAAUGAUAGUCAAAAUCAUACAGAAAAGGGAUAAACUACUAUCAGAACAGAUUAUUUCUGAGGAGUGCAACUGACCACCAAGGAUGAGAUUCUGCAGACACAUGUCUCCUAUAUUAAUAGAUUUCAUGUCCACAGGCAUAUUCUAGAUGACUAUUAACAAUGUUUCAUUAAAUGCACUUUCACUAUGUUUCGGAUUUUUUUGUAAUGGCAUUUUAAAAUAUAUUUUAUUUAUAAUAGGAAUUCCAG